CUUUGCUGUCCUUUCCACUAAAUAGUAGAACCUAUUUCUCUACCCUCUUGAGUCCUUGUCAUGUGAUUUGCCUUGACCAAGAAAAUCUCAAAGAAGUGAUGUUAUGGUAAUUCACAGCCUACACCACAACAGGCCAGAAACGUCUACCUUAUCCCUCUUGAAAUGCUACCCUGAGACUGACAUAUGGGGAGUCUGGGCUAGACUCCUUGAGGGUGAGAAACUAUGUGAAGCAAGGUCUGGCCAAUAGACAGCCCCAAAUGCCAGAAUUGGGAGUGAAGUCAUCAUAGACAAUCUGUCUCUAAUGGAGUCCCCAGAUGUGUGCAGAAUAGGAAUAGCCCCAGGAAAGACCAACAGAAGAACCACUCACCUGAGCUCAGCCCAAAUUGUUGACUCACAGAAUUAAUUACAAUCUCCUGUUCCCCCUGAAAGAGCCCAGAUAGAUUCCCAGAUGAGUAUCGGAAGAGGUAGCUGCCAUCAGGACUUGCUUGAUGGACCCAAGCACUCAUCUAAUAGUGGCACUGGAAGAAUUAAUCUGGCUGAUAUAUCAGACCUCUCUCCUCCGUGGGAACUUGCCAUUUUCUCCAGCCUCUGAGUUUUUCUAGUGAGAUUCAGAGAUACAGCCAAAUCGCCUUAUACAAGGCAGGUGCUUGAUACAGGUUGAAUGAAGAUUAUGUUUACCAGGUUCCAGCCUCAGAAUAUUGGAAUCCACUUUCUCUGAAUGCACGGAGAGCUAGAAGCACCUGGGAAUUUAUGUUGCCCAAGAGCAGCCCUUAGCCAAUGAUUGACAGGUGGAGGAGUUUAAAUACUUCACCUCCCUUGCUUCUUAACGGGAAUUACUUCAAAAUAUGCUGCCUCCAGAUCUCCCCUGCAGAUUGAGCCACAGUUAUCUUCUGCUAGACUUUGUUUGCUAUCACACACCUGCUUGGGUUUUUCCUGGAAACACUUCCUAUUAAACUGGUUUUAAAUGAGCC